GAUGAACGCUGGCGGCGUGCCUAAUACAUGCAAGUCGAGCGAACAGACGAUGAGCUUUCUCCUCUGACGUUUGCGGCGGACGGGUGUGUAACACGUGGAUAACCUACCUCUAAGACUGGGAUAACUUCGGGAAACCUGAUCUAAUACCGGAUAAUAUAUUGAACCGCAUGGUUCAUUAGUGAAUGACGGUUUUGCUGUCUCUUUUAGAUGGAUCCGCGCCGCAUUAGCUAGUUGGUAAGGUAACGGCUUACCAAGGCAACGAUGCGUAGCCGACCUGAGAGGGGGAUCGGCGAGACGGGAACUGAGACACGGACAAGACGACUACGGGAGGCAGCAGUAGGGAAUAUGAGGGAAUGGGCGAAAGCAUGACGGAGCAACGCGGAGUGAGUGAUGAAGGGCUGCGGAGCGUAAAACUCUGUAAUUAGGGAAGAAAAAAUGUGUAAGAAACGAUGCACGUAUUGACGGUACCUAAACAGAAAGCAACGGCUAACUACGUG
rnacentral:rRNA from 1 species